rnacentral:lncRNA from 1 species
CGCUUCCUGUGACCAGGCGCCCGGUCCCGCCCCGCGCGGCUCCUGUUCCGGGACGUCUGCUUUCCCCAUCACCGGAGGCUUCCCGGCCAGCCAUUCUCCCGGCGCGGAGGAGCUCACAGAAGCGCCACUGUUCUGCGUUGGCAGCGGCCUGGUCCGACAGCUUGGGCCUGAGCGGCAGACCCAUCCGUCAGGCGGGAAGGAUGGAGCAACGUCCGGCAGCCCGCUCUGAGGACUCCCUGGGGAGCCGCCUCCCGCCCAGGCCCAGACUCUUUCCCUCUUCCCGCCCCCAGCCUGCGCCCACUGCCAGCUCAGAGAUAAGAUUAAACAAGACUUGUGGGCAAACGGAGAAUUCAGCAUGGACAGUGGACUCUUCAGGAGCCUGUGGCCAAGGCAUGCCCAGCUGA